AGUGGGUGAUUGGUUCGUCUGU
rnacentral:siRNA from 1 species